AGUCAAUAGAUACCCGGGUAGUCCACGCCCUAAACGAUGUCAACUAGUUGUCGGGGAUUAAUUUCCUUGGUAAACGCAGCUAAACGCGUGAAAGUUGACCGCCUGGGGAGUACGGCCGCAAGGUUAAAACUCAAAGGAAUUGACGGGGACCCGCACAAGCGGUGGAUGAUGUGGAUUAAUUCGAUGCAACGCGAAAAACCUUACCUACGCUUGACAUGCCAGGAACCUCGCGGAGACGUGAGGGUGCCCGAAAGGGAACCUGGACACAGGUGCUGCAUGGCUGUCGUCAGCUCGUGUCGUGAGAUGUUGGGUUAAGUCCCGCAACGAGCGCAACCCUUAUCCCUAGUUGCUACGAAAGGGCACUCUAGGGAGACUGCCGGUGACAAACCGGAGGAAGGUGGGGAUGACGUCAAGUCCUCAUGGCCCUUAUGCGUAGGGCUUCACACGUCAUACAAUGGUCGGUACAGAGGGCUGCCAACCCGCGAGGGGAGCCAAUCCCAGAAAGCCGAUCGUAGUCCGGAUUGCACUCUGCAACUCGAGUGCAUGAA
rnacentral:rRNA from 1 species